rnacentral:tRNA from 1 species
CGAGAAGAAUAUAAACAGAAACUGCUAAUUAUCUGCACCAUGGUUAAAC